rnacentral:rRNA from 1 species
CACCGCGGUUAUACGAGGGGCCCAAGUUGAUAAACCUCGGCGUAAAGGGUGGUUAAGAAGUUAAUAAAACUAAAGCCAAAUUAUCUCUAAAAUUGUAAAAAGUUCAUAGAGAUAAGAAGAACGACUACGAAAGUGGCUUUAUCAAACUGAAACCACGAAAGCUAUGGUA